GAUGAACGCUAGCGGCAGGCUUAACACAUGCAAGUCGAGGGGCAGCACGAUGUAGCAAUACAUUGGUGGCGACCGGCGCACGGGUGCGUAACACGUAUGGAAUCUGCCCUUUAACUGGAGGAUAGCCCGGAGAAAUCCGGAUUAAUACUCCAUAACUGUCGAGGUGGCAUCACCUUGAUCUGAAAGCUCCGGCGGUAAAGGAUGACCAUGCGCACGAUUAGCUAGUUGGUGAGGUAAUGGCUCACCAAGGCUACGAU
rnacentral:rRNA from 1 species